AGCUAGAGUUUGAUCAUGGCUCAGAACGAACGCUGGCGGCAUGCCUAACACAUGCAAGUCGAACGAACUCUUCGGAGUUAGUGGCGCACGGGUGCGUAACGCGUGGGAAUCUGCCCUUGGGUACGGAAUAACUCAGAGAAAUUUGUGCUAAUACCGUAUAAUGUCUUCGGACCAAAGAUUUAUCGCCCAAGGAUGAGCCCGCGUAAGAUUAGCUAGUUGGCGGGGUAACGGCCCACCAAGGCGAAGAUCGGUAUCCGGCCUGAGAGGGCGCACGGACACACUGGAACUGAAACACGGUCCAGACUCCUACGGGAGGCAGCAGUGGGGAAUUUUGCGCAAUGGGGGAAACCCUGACGCAGCAACGCCGCGUGGAGGAUGAAGCCCCUUGGGGCGUAAACUCCUUUCGACCAAGACGAUAAUGACGGUACUGGUGGAAGAAGCACCGGCUAACUCUGUGCCAGCAGCCGCGGUAAUAAUCGC
rnacentral:rRNA from 1 species